ACCCGCUGAACUUAAGCAUAUCAAUAAGCGGAGGAAAAGAAACCAACAGGGAUUACCUCAGUAACGGCGAGUGAAGCGGUAACAGCUCAAAUUUGAAAUCUGGGUCUUUCAGGCUCCGAGUUGUAAUUUGUAGAAGAUGCUUCGGGUGCGGCUCCGGUCUAAGUUCCUUGGAACAGGACGUCAUAGAGGGUGAGAAUCCCGUAUGUGAUCGGUUGCUUGCGCCCAUGUGAAGCUCUUUCGACGAGUCGAGUUGUUUGGGAAUGCAGCUCAAAAUGGGUGGUAAAUUUCAUCUAAAGCUAAAUAUUGGCCAGAGACCGAUAGCGCACAAGUAGAGUGAUCGAAAGAUGAAAAGCACUUUGGAAAGAGAGUUAAACAGUACGUGAAAUUGUUGAAAGGGAAGCGCUUGCAACCAGACUUGCGCGUUGCCGAUCAUCCGGGGUUCUCCCCGGUGCACUCGGCCUCGCUCAGGCCAGCAUCGGUUUCGGUGGUGGGAUAAAGGCCUUGGGAAUGUGGCUCCUCUCGGGGAGUGUUAUAGCCCUCGGUGCAAUGCCGCCUACCGGGACCGAGGACCGCGCUUCGGCUAGGAUGCUGGCGUAAUGGUUGUAAGCGACCCGUCUUGAAACACGGACCAAGGAGUCUAACAUCUAUGCGAGUGUUUGGGUGUCAAACCCAUACGCGUAAUGAAAGUGAACGGAGGUGAGAACCCUUAAGGGUGCAUCAUCGACCGAUCCUGAUGUCUUCGGAUGGAUUUGAGUAAGAGCAUAGCUGUUGGGACCCGAAAGAUGGUGAACUAUGCCUGAAUAGGGUGAAGCCAGAGGAAACUCUGGUGGAGGCUCGCAGCGGUUCUGACGUGCAAAUCGAUCGUCAAA
rnacentral:rRNA from 1 species